rnacentral:rRNA from 1 species
ACGGAGGGCAGCAGUGGGGAAUAUUGCACAAUGGGGGAAACCCUGAUGCAGCGACGCCGCGUGAGUGAAGAAGUAUCUCGGUAUGUAAAGCUCUAUCAGCAGGGAAGAAAAUGACGGUACCUGACUAAGAAGCCCCGGCUAACUACGUGCCAGCAGCCGCGGUAAUACGUAGGGGGCAAGCGUUAUCCGGAUUUACUGGGUGUAAAGGGAGCGUAGACGGCGAUGCAAGUCUGAAGUGAAAGGCGGGGGCUCAACCCUUGGACUGCUUUGGAAACUGUAUUGCUAGAGUGCAGGAGAGGUAAGUGGAAUUCCUAGUGUAGCGGUGAAAUGCGUAGAUAUUAGGAGGAACACCAGUGGCGAAGGCGGCUUACUGGACUGUAACUGACGUUGAGGCUCGAAAGCGUGGGGAGCAAACAGGAUUAGAUACCCUGGUA